rnacentral:rRNA from 1 species
GACGAACGCUGGCGGCGUGCCUAAUACAUGCAAGUUGAGCGCUGAAGGCUGGUACUUGUACCGACUGGAUGAGCAGCGAACGGGUGAGUAACGCGUGGGGAAUCUGCCUUUGAGCGGGGGACAACAUUUGGAAACGAAUGCUAAUACCGCAUAAAAACUUUAAACACAAGUUUUAAGUUUGAAAGAUGCAAUUGCAUCACUCAAAGAUGAUCCCGCGUUGUAUUAGCUAGUUGGUGAGGUAAAGGCUCACCAAGGCGAUGAUACAUAGCCGACCUGAGAGGGUGAUCGGCCACAUUGGGACUGAGACACGGCCCAAACUCCUACGGGAGGCAGCAGUAGGGAAUCUUCGGCAAUGGACGAAAGUCUGACCGAGCAACGCCGCGUGAGUGAAGAAGGGUUUCGGAUCGUAAAACUCUGUUGGUAGAGAAGAACGUUGGUGAGAGUGGAAAGCUCAUCAAGUGACGGUAACUACCCAGAAAGGGACGGCUAACUACGUG